rnacentral:rRNA from 1 species
GAAUUUUAUAUAAUUUUUAAUUAUUUAAUUUAGUUUAGAUGAUAAAUUAAUUUAUAUUUUAUUGGGAGGAUGGUUAAAUUAGAGUAACUUUAAUUAUAAGAGAAUAUUGAUGAAUAAGUUAAAGAAUGGUUAAUAAAUUAAAAAAGAAUUAAUUACCUUAGGGAUAACAGCGUAAUAUUUUUGGAGAGUUCAUAUUAAUAAAAAUGUUUGC